CCUACGGGAGGCAGCAGUGGGGAAUAUUGGACAAUGGGGGCAACCCUGAUCCAGCCAUGCCGCGUGUGUGAAGAAGGCCCUCGGGUUGUAAAGCACUUUCAGUGAGGAAGAACGCCUGGUGGUUAAUACCCAUCAGGAAAGACAUCACUCACAGAAGAAGCACCGGCUAACUCCGUGCCAGCAGCCGCGGUAAUACGGAGGGUGCGAGCGUUAAUCGGAAUUACUGGGCGUAAAGCGCGCGUAGGUGGCUUGAUAAGCCGGUUGUGAAAGCCCCGGGCUCAACCUGGGAACGGCAUCCGGAACUGUCAAGCUAGAGUGCAGGAGAGGAAGGUAGAAUUCCCGGUGUAGCGGUGAAAGGCGUAGAGAUCGGGAGGAAUACCAGUGGCGAAGGCGGCCUUCUGGACUGACACUGACACUGAGGUGCGAAAGCGUGGGUAGCAAACAGGAUUAGAUACCCUAGUAGUC
rnacentral:rRNA from 1 species